rnacentral:misc_RNA from 1 species
UAUACAAGAUUCCGCAAUUUC